UACAGAGGGGGCUAGCGUUGUUCGGAAUUACUGGGCGUAAAGCGCACGUAGGCGGCUUUGUAAGUUAGAGGUGAAAGCCCAGGGCUCAACCCUGGAAUUGCCUUUAAGACUGCAUCGCUUGAACAUCGGAGAGGUAAGUGGAAUUCCGAGUGUAGAGGUGAAAUUCGUAGAUAUUCGGAAGAACACCAGUGGCGAAGGCGACUUACUGGACGAUUGUUGACGCUGAGGUGCGAAAGCGUGGGGAGCAAACAGG
rnacentral:rRNA from 1 species